rnacentral:rRNA from 1 species
GACGAACCGUGCGAACGUUGUUCGGAAUCACUGGGCUUAAAGGGCGCGUAGGCGGCUCGCCAAGUCGGGGGUGAAAUACUUCAGCUUAACUGGAGAAGUGCCUUCGAAACUGGCGGGCUUGAGGGAGGUAGGGGUCUGUGGAACUUCUGGUGGAGCGGUGAAAUGCGUUGAUAUCAGAAGGAACGCCGGUGGCGAAGGCGGGUCUCUGGGCCGAUACUGACGCUGAGGAGCGAAAGCGUGGGGAGCGAACAGG